AGUGAACGCUGGCGGUAGGCCUAACACAUGCAAGUCGAACGGCAGCACAGUAAGAGCUUGCUCUUACGGGUGGCGAGUGGCGGACGGGUGAGGAAUACAUCGGAAUCUACUUUUUCGUGGGGGAUAACGUAGGGAAACUUACGCUAAUACUGCAUACGACCUACGGGUGAAAGCAUGGGAUCUUCGGACCUUGCGCGAUUGAAUGAGCCGAUGUCGGAUUAGCUAGUUGGCGGGGUAAAGGCCCACCAAGGCGACGAUCCGUAGCUGGUCUGAGAGGAUGAUCAGUCACACUGGAACUGAGACACGGUCCAGACUCCUACGGGAGGCAGCAGUGGGGAAUAUUGGACAAUGGGCGCAAGCCUGAUCCAGCCAUACCGCGUGGGUGAAGAAGGCCUUCGGGUUGUAAAGCACUUUUGUUGGGAAAGAAAAGCAGCAGGUUAAUACCCCGCUGUUCUGACGGUACCCACAGAAUAAGCACCGGCUAACUUCGUG
rnacentral:rRNA from 1 species